GGAUACGCCGCAGAUAAACGUGCGCUCCCGGGGCCGACAGUGGCGGCGGAGGGGACAACCGCGACAGGCCGUGCCUUCAUGGAGUCGCCGGAUGACCGAUGACACCCCACCGGCUUGGGAGGAAAACGACCCCCGCGACUAACACGUCACGCCGACAAACACGGAGGCCCUUCCAGCUGAUCCCAGUCCAGCGAGGUGUUCUCGCUCACCUGCUCCUGACCCGUUUCAGAGUGUCGAGAUUAAAGCGCUUCCUCAAAUCUCCUCCGAGGAACUGCUCCAGUGUGUUGGCAUGUCCUUCCUGGCUUCCCAGAUGCUUGUCAGCAGAUUGGCAUUCAUCCAACUGGAGGGCAAACAACAACAACGAUAACGAUUAUUGAAAAUUCCUUUUCUGGUUUCGGUGUUUAUUAAUACAGUGAGCAUAUUUUCACCCACGGGAACACACUGGUACCUUCUAGUGAAGCGGAACUCCUACGCAUUUUGGAAGAGAAACAAUUUGGGCUUCAGAUCUUCUCUGGUGUUAUACGAGCUAAAAGGUCACAAAAUGUGAUCACACACAUGCCCCAUAGUAUAGCAUAGCAUACAAUAUUGUAACAAAAGUUAACAUACCCUUUCCUUUUGAGAAAGUGCCUAUGCAGACAGAUCGCACCGAUGCAUACAACUGCACAAAAGCACAUUAGUUACAAUGUGUUAGGUUUUUAUCGAGUUACCAUAAGGGUCUCAGUAAAUGAGGAGCUUACCAAGGCAUACGACCACCGCGCCGAUUAUAACAGGGAAAUGAUCUAAAAGACACACGCAGAACAUGAAAAGAAUGUGUAAUACAAACAUUCAACGUGUUGGAAUUGUUAACUCACCAACAUCCUUGUUGGAAUCUUUGGCUUUGUCAUGUAUUUCUGCAACAAUCAAAGGUCAGUUUAUAAAGACCUUUUUAAAAUAUACGACGAGAUCAGGACAAGACCACUAGAAUAUUGAAGCACUUUAAAUCGUGUGAUAUCAUAUUAAGAUUAUUUUGGCAUCUCUUAUAAGUGUGUGUGACUGUACACAGCAUGGGUGUGUGUGUGUGUGUAUAGUAUACAUAAAUGUAUGGAUACUAAGGCUAGGUUCAUACCAGAGGUUUUAAUACACAAAUUCGAUUUAUCGUGUUUUUACAACUCGAGUCAGGCAUUAACUUGACGGUCUGAGCGGGACAGGUUGCAUAAAAGUGGACAAUUUCAAAUCCGAUCUAGGUCACUUUCGUAUGUGGUUAAAAUCCGAUCUGGGCUACAUUUUUCCAGAAUGUGGCUGCGGUCUGAACUGUCAACUCCCCCAAAUCAGAAUCAUGCAACAAUUACGUCAGCAAAAGAGCGAGAGAGACAGGGCGCUUUGUUAGUGAUAGAGCUGUGCAUCAACGUUAGCGCCUAGCUCGAACGCGGCUUUUAGGGAAGAGGUGAGCUUGACCACAUUCAUUAAAAAAAUUAAAUGGGGGUAAGCCUGAGAAUGCUCGGUUUUCUUUCUGUGCUCCAAUUGAGCAAUAUUUUAAGAUUGCGUACACGACCGAGAGUCGGGGCAAACUUCGUAUAUGUAUGAGUCAUGCACGCACAGUGCGUGCAUGCUAUCAAUCCAUAUAAACUUUGAAUAUAAGACUAAACGGGGAUUACCGUAUUGGUCCGGAUAUAAGACGGUGUUUUUUGCUUUGAAGUAAGACUGAAAAAGUGGAUGUCGUCUUAUAUUCGGGGUCUAGACAUUAUUCUCAUUCACGAUGCUAGAUGGCGCCAGAUAUCAUUGAAGCGAUUCUGUCAUGACAGAUCUCAGCUACUCUCAAGUUUAACCCCUGAGAGUCGAAGGACGCGCCGGCGCGUCCUCAGCGCACGUCGUCUUUGAAGCGCCCUCACGUUUUAAUUACGUCACCCACAUGCCGUUGGUUGGUCUCGUUUUAAAGUGCGGAAGUUGCGGUUUACUCUCGUUAUUAUUUGAAGUCAAUCGACCUACGAAAAAGUGAGAUUGUUAUUUAAGUUUUACAGUUUUAUUGUCCUCUCAAAAAAACAUUAAAACGCUGCAUGGAUCAUUUGUUUAUGUCUAUAUUUCCAUCAUUUCUUGUCCUUUUUCAAAACGGAAGCUCCAUGAAAAAAACACAAAUCAAACGAACCCUUUCGAAGUCACAGUGGAAGCACAAAAUGCGUUUUUUUUAUAUAUAAAUAUAACUACCAUGCGAGGUUCUACCGAACGAGAGGGAGGAGUGUUCUGAAGCAGCGAGGUGGCGAGCGACGGCCGUUUGGAUCGAGCAGCGACUUUGUGUGACUUUGAGAAUGAACGGAAAACUAAAUUUAGCGCAAGCAAUUGUGCUUUUUGAUCAACUUGAGGAAGAGGAUGGUCCAAAUUCGAUAUCAUCGUCUUCUUCGGAAGAGUCCUCGAGUGAAGAUAGUGACGGUUUUGCACACGUGGGUGACGCCAUCGACGAGCAGAGGUAAGCCAACUCACUUUUUUUUUUUUAUGCUGAAAAAGUUUCUUUUGAAAGUUUCUUUUGAUAUUGCAAGACAAAGUUAAUUUUGAUGCAAUAUAAGUGUGUGUUUGUGUAUAUAAUAAAAUGUGCAUAUCAGAUCAAAGUCGCACGUGCACUGUGGGUAUCCCAGGCAGGAAUUUAUAAUUUGUGGUGUUCUUUCUGUAUGAAGAUUAGGGAUGUAGCACAUAUUCAGCUAUGGUAUUCUUUCUAUUGUCAUACAUAUAGAUUUCCAUUAUUAUUUAUUGCUGUAUAUAUUUUUAUUUUAUACUUUAUUAUUUUCAUAAAUACUGACUUUUUUUCAUGUACAUUUAUAGUGACAAUGAAAGUAAAGUGAAAUGAAAAUGGAAGGGUGGAAAGAGGACCGACACCCCA